rnacentral:rRNA from 1 species
GGAGUUAGCCGGUGCUUCUUCUGCGAGUAACGUCACAGAUGUAAGGUAUUAACUUACACCCUUUCCUCCUCGCUGAAAGUGCUUUACAACCCGAAGGCCUUCUUCACACACGCGGCAUGGCUGCAUCAGGGUUUCCCCCAUUGUGCAAUAUUCCCCACUGCUGCCUCCCGUAGGAGUCUGGGCCGUGUCUCAGUCCCAGUGUGGCUGAUCAUCCUCUCAGACCAGCUAGGGAUCGUCGCCUAGGUGAGCCUUUACCUCACCUACUAGCUAAUCCCACCUGGGCUUAUCCAUCAGCGCAAGGCCCGAAGGUCCCCUGCUUUCCCCCGUAGGGCGUAUGCGGUAUUAGCAGUCGUUUCCAACUGUUAUCCCCACAAAUGGGCAAAUUCCCAGGCAUUACUCACCCGUCCGCCGCUCGUCAUCUUCAAAAGCAAGCUUUUGAAAUGUUACCGCUCGACUUGCAUGUGUUAGGCCUGCCGCCAGCGUUCAAUCUGAGCCAGU